rnacentral:rRNA from 1 species
UCGCUCUUCAACGAGGAAUCCCUAGUAAGCACAAGUCACCAGCUUGUGCUGAUUACGUCCCUGCCCUUUGUACACACCGCCCGUCGCUACUACCGAUUGAAUGGCUUAGUGAGGCCCUCGGAUCGACUUUCUGAGACUGGCAACAGUCUCUGAUUGUUGAGAAGUUGGUCAAACUUGGUCAUUUAGAGGAAGUAAAAGUCGUAACAAGGUUUCCGUAGGUGAACCUGCGGAAGGAUCAUUAAUGAUUUGGCGAACCUAACGUUAGUUAGGUUUUGCGAUCACUUAUUUAAAACCCAACUCUUAAAUGUAUAAUUUAUGUAUUUCUUGAUAAGAAAAAUAAAGAUCACUUUCAACAACGGAUCUCUUGGCUCUCGCAUCGAUGAAGAACGUAGCGAAGUGCGAUAAGUAAUGUGAAUUGCAGAAUUCCGUGAAUCAUCGAAUCUUUGAACGCAAAUUGCACUUUCUGGUAUUCCGGAAAGUAUGCCUGUUUGAGGGUCAGUUAAAUAAAAAUCGGUGUUAUUGCUAUUAAUGGUGAUGCAUCGGAAUUGAGUCGUCUUUACCUUUGGUUUUUAAGUGACUUAAAAUUAUGUACGAUUUUUGAACGUAUUUAAAUUAUUUACGUACGUUCAUAAUAUCACAUAUUAGGUGCGAUCAUCCACAUGAUUUCGCGCCUAUAAUUUUUCAUUAUUUGACCUCAAAUCAGGUAAGAAUACCCGCUGAACUUAAGCAUAUCAAUAAGCGGAGGAAAAGAAAAUAACAAUGAUUCCCUUAGUAACGGCGAGUGAAGGGGGAUAAGCUCAAAUUUUAAAUCUGCUAGGUUUUACUUAUCAGAGUUGUAAUUUGAAGAAGCGUUUUCCGCGUCUCGGUUGACCCAAAUCCUUUGGGAUAUGGUAUCAUGGAGGGUGAGAAUCCCGUCCGGUUGACUUUGUGACGCUUUACGAUACGUUUUCAAAGAGUCGAGUUGUUUGGGAUUGCAGCUCAAAAUGGGAGGUAAAUUUCUCCUAAGGCUAAAUAUUGGCGAGAGACCGAUAGCGAACAAGUACCGUGAGGGAAAGAUGAAAAGUACUUUGAAAAGAGAGUUAAACAGUACGUGAAAUUGUUGAAAGGGAAACGAUUGAAGCCAGUCGUUCUGACGGAAAAUCAACUUUUCGGGUGCCUAUCGUGGGUGACGUUGAGCCUCACGGUCUUCGUUGCUUGUGUUUGUUGGUACCUUUGGAGUGCACUUUUUCGUAUGGUAGGUCAACAUCGAUUUUAAUCGUCAUAAAAUGAUCGGAGGAAUGUGGCUUCGAUUUCGAUUGGAGUGUUAUAGCCUUUGGUAGAUGUGACGAUUGGGAUCGAGGAUUGCAACGAAUACCCUUUGGGCUAUCCGUCUGGCCUCUGAAAGUCGCUUGGGUGCUGAAAGCUUUGCUUAUAGUAUUCAAGUUGGCGGUCAACAGGUUAGAACGUGAUUACAUUCGUUAAGGAUGUUGACGUAAUGGCUUUAAACGACCCGUCUUGAAACACGGACCAAGGAGUCUAACAUGUGUGCGAGUGUU